rnacentral:rRNA from 1 species
GUCGAGCGGCGGACGGGUGAGUAAUGCUUGGGAAUAUGCCUUAUGGUGGGGGACAACAGUUGGAAACGACUGCUAAUACCGCAUGAUGUCUACGGACCAAAGUGGGGGACCUUCGGGCCUCACGCCAUAAGAUUAGCCCAAGUGGGAUUAGCUAGUUGGUGAGGUAAUGGCUCACCAAGGCGACGAUCCCUAGCUGGUUUGAGAGGAUGAUCAGCCACACUGGGACUGAGACACGGCCCAGACUCCUACGGGAGGCAGCAGUGGGGAAUAUUGCACAAUGGGCGCAAGCCUGAUGCAGCCAUGCCGCGUGUGUGAAGAAGGCCUUCGGGUUGUAAAGCACUUUCAGUAAGGAGGAAAGGUUAAGUGUUAAUAGCACUUAGCUGUGACGUUACUUACAGAAGAAGCACCGGCUAACUCCGUGCCAGCAGCCGCGGUAAUACGGAGGGUGCGAGCGUUAAUCGG